CGCUAGAACUCGACAAGGUGGUUGUGACAUGGGGGCUCAGGAUCAUAUCACAGCCAGCUUUGUUGAGUUCUCGGCU
rnacentral:pre_miRNA from 1 species